AAUCCAUGAUUCAGACAGAGCCUCAGCAAGUCCUUGUAUCUCUCCCAUGCUUCGAAAAGGGACUCGUUGUCUUUUUGUCUAAAUCCAUUGAUCUGGGCUCUUAGCAU